rnacentral:lncRNA from 1 species
GGAUCUUCCCCUCCCUAUGAUUUUCCCUUACUAUCUACCCAUACAAUAUUGCUUGUUUCUGUGAAUUCAAUGCUGUUUCAGUAAACUUAAAGCAUAUCAUUUGUUUGGAACUGUUAACCCUUAUACUUUUAUAUAGUCUAGAACCGAGACCAUUUCUCCUUCCUUAUAAUCUUUUCAAAGAAGAGUGUGCCUGAUGUGCGGGGAAGGGUGGGGUGUGUAAUGAAUGUAUUUAGCGUCUGUUUCAAUGUUUCUUUUAAGAAUGAGGAUGAUGUUGAAGGAAAUUUCUAUAUUAAGCUAUAACUUUUUAAACUUCUUAUAGAAAUUUUCAAAGAUUUUUUUUUUAAGUAG